rnacentral:misc_RNA from 1 species
GAUGAAUAACGUAGCGAAAUGCGAUAAGUAAUGUGAAUUGCAGAAUUCAGUGAAUCAUCGAAUCUUUGAACGCACAUUGCGCCCCCUGGUAUUCCGGGGGGCAUGCCUGUCCGAGCGUCAUUACAACCCUCAAGCUCAGCUUGGUGUUGGGCCCCGCCGCCCCGGCGGGCCCUAAAGUCAGUGGCGGUGCCGUCCGGCUCCGAGCGUAGUAAUUCUUCUCGCUCUGGAGGUCCGGUCGUGUGCUCGCCAGCAACCCCCAAUUUUUUUCAGGUUGACCUCGGAUCAGGUAGGGAUACCCGCUGAACUUAAGCAUAUCAAUAAGCGGAGGA